AGGUGCUUGUGGCUUACACGUCUUACCGAGCCUGCAUGGCGGGCGUGAGCGCAAGUGAAACGGGAAACUGGUGAGAUGCCAGUGCUGCCCCCGCAACGGUAAACAACCAUACCCAAGGCAAGUGGCCACUGCACAGACUGUGUGGGAAGGCGCCUUGGGCCGGCACAGGCGUGUAUGAAAAUUCCGCUGCUUGCGCUGAGGUUGUGAAGCCCGGAGACCGGCCUGAUUCUUUGGGUACAG
rfam:gamma proteobacterium HdN1, complete genome.